AUGAAUAAGGAUCGGCUAACUACGUGCCAGCAGCCGCGGUCAUACGUAGGAUCCGAGCGUUAUCCGGAGUGACUGGGCGUAAAGAGUUGCGUAGGUGGUUUAAUAAGUGAAUAGUGAAAUCUGGUGGCUCAACCAUUCAGACCGUUAUUCAAACUGUUAAACUCGAGAACAGCAGAGGUAACUGGAAUUUCUUGUGUAGGAGUGAAAUCCGUAGAUAUAAGAAGGAACACCAAUGGCGUAGGCAGGUUACUGGGCUGUUUCUGACACUGAGGCACGAAAGCGUGGGGAGCGAACCGGAUUAGAUACCCGGGUAGUCCACGCCGUAAACUAUGGAUACUAGCUGUUUGGGGUAUCGACCCCCUGAGUAGCGAAGCUAACGCGUUAAGUAUCCCGCCUGUGGAGUACGAUCGCAAGAUUAAAACAUAAAGGAAUUGACGGGGACCCGCACAAGCGGUGGAUCAUGUUCUUUAAUUCGAUGAUAACCGAUAAACCUUACCAGGACUUGACAUCCUUGGGAGCACUACGAAAGUAGAGUGUGCCUUUUGGAACCAAGUGGCAGGUGAUGCAUGGCCGUCGUCAGCUCGUGUCGUGAGAUGUUAGGUUAAGUCCUUCAACGAGCGCAACCCUUGUGAAUAGUUGUAUUUUUCUAUUCAAACUGCCCCGGUAACGGGGAGGAAGGAGGGGAUGACGUCAGGUCAGUAUUUCCCUUACGUCCUGGGCUAGAAACGUGAUACAAUGGCUAGUACAAUGCGCCGCGAAGCCGCGAGGUGAAGCAAAUCGCAUCAAAGCUAGUCCCAGUUCGGAUUGGAGGCUGAAACUCGCCUCCAUGAAGUCGGAAUCGCUAGUAAUCGCAGAUCAUCAUGCUGCGGUGAAUACGUUCCCGGGUCUUGUACACACCGCCCGU
rnacentral:rRNA from 1 species